GCUGUGGAGAAACCGGGGUCAGCACGAGGGAUAGAUAAGCCCCAGGCUGGGGGCGGGGCUAGGCUGGAGUGGGGCGGGGCCUAAAUAGCGAUGAGCUAGGGAAUUGGGCGGCGCUGGGCAGGCUUAGUUCUGUUCCUGACCGGGUCAAAAUGGACACGUGACAUUAGCCCCAGGACCUCGUCUGAAUGGGAGACUUGAAGCAUCCCACUGGGGCGUGGCCAGAACGGGGUACCCACAGUGCAUGGCUGAUUCAGAGAUGCCAAGAGGAGGGGCAGGGAAUGCUCACCUGGUGGGAGGCAAGCCCCAGGGCAGGGCUGGUGAGCUCCCCUCCAUCCUGAGAUUUCUCCCGGGCCAACCUUGCUGCUUCCUUCACUUCCUGGAACUUCUCAGCAAACUGGGGGGCAGAAAGCAGAGGUGAACAAACUCUCCAGCCCCUCUCCAGCCUCCCACCAGGUCACUCCCACCCACUGCCAGCAUUGUUACCUUGGGGGGACCUUAGGAACUGUGCAUACCCCCUUAUCUCACAAACCGAAAGGGGCAGGUUGGAAAACGAUGUCCCCUUGAGCAGAAUGGGUACCCUGGUGGGAGGGAUGUUCCCGGAGGUGGCAGUAAGUACACUGAGAGACAUUAAGAAAGGGAUUCCCUUUUCCUCUCUGUCAGGCUUAUUUCAACAAGGAGAGCCUCUGGCUGGUGCUGACUUUUCUUUAACACCUGUUAACAUUCCUUUAUAACAGAGAGAGGAGGUCUUGCACUUGGAGCCUCUGAGAGGGAGGCAUCGACAGUCAGAGAGUAAUUACCUGCUUCCAGUUUUCAUUAAGCCAAGCGUUUACAUUUACCACCUAGCUCUGGCAAUUAAACUUGUUCUCCAGUUAA